AUUCAAAGGCUUAGUGCAGUUGAUUCUGAUUUUGCUCCAUUUGUGCAACAUGCAGGGGUUCCAUCUAUUGAUGUUUAUUAUGGAAGAGAUUUUCCUGUCUAUCACAUGGCUUACGACUCGUAUAACUGGAUGACAGAGUAUGCAGAUCCAUUUUUUCAGCGACAUGUUGCCGUUACUGGAAUUUGGGGACUCCUAGCCCUUCACCUGGCCGACAAUUCCAUUCUUCCCUUCAAUUACAUUUUCUAUGCGAAUCAAUAAACA